CGAAAGCCUGACGGAGCAAGACCGCGUGAGGGACGAAGGCUCUUGGGUUGUAAACCUCUUUUCUCAGGGAAGAAUAAUGACGGUACCUGAGGAAUCAGCAUCGGCUAACUCCGUGCCAGCAGCCGCGGUAAGACGGAGGAUGCAAGCGUUAUCCGGAAUUAUUGGGCGUAAAGCGUCCGCAGGUGGCUCAUCAAGUCUGCUGUUAAAGCCCAGGGCUCAACCCUGGAGAAGCAGUGGAAACUGAUAGGCUAGAGUGCGGUAGGGGCAGAGGGAAUUCCCGGUGUAGCGGUGAAAUGCGUAGAGAUCAGGAAGAACAUCGGUGGCGAAGGCGCUCUGCUAGGCCGCAACUGACACUGAGGGACGAAAGCUA
rnacentral:rRNA from 1 species